rnacentral:rRNA from 1 species
UGGGGAAUAUUGGACAAUGGGCGAAAGCCUGAUCCAGCCAUGCCGCGUGUGUGAAGAAGGUCUUCGGAUUGUAAAGCACUUUAAGUUGGGAGGAAGGGCAGUAAGCGAAUACCUUGCUGUUUUGACGUUACCGACAGAAUAAGCACCGUCUAACUCUGUGCCAGCAGCCGCGGUAAUACAGAGGGUGCAAGCGUUAAUCGGAAUUACUGGGCGUAAAGCGCGCGUAGGUGGUUCGUUAAGUUGAAUGUGAAAGCCCCGGGCUCAACCUGGGAACUGCAUCCAAAACUGGCGAGCUUGAGUAGGGCAGAGGGUGGUGGAAUUUCCUGUGUAGCGGUGAAAUGCGUAGAUAUAGGAUGGAAAACCAGUGGCGAAGGCGACCACCUGGGCUCCUACUGACACUGAGAUGCGAAAGCGUGGGGAGCAAACAGG